CCGGACUUGUAAACCAAUUGGACAGCAGUUCAGGCAGAGCUAUAGACUAAUUCCGACACCACCUAAAAAUGUACAUUUAGGUUUACGUAUAAUAUUGAGGUCACUUAAAUACAGAUUCCCUGCUGUUUUUCACGCACGGUCUAUCACAACAACAUCGUUCCAAGAAAGAAAGCAUAAUAUUAUUAUCCUUUUUGUGUUUUCAGCUGAAUACUUGAUUUAACUUGAACUCAGCAAGAUAUCCAAACAGGAAAAAUAAGGCAAAGUAGUGUUAUUCUGAGUAGAUCUGCCUGGCGGGAUUGAAAGCGAAGGCAGAUAGCAGUGUCGGUCCAAAA